rnacentral:rRNA from 1 species
UACGGGGGGGGCAAGCGUUGUUCGGAAUUACUGGGCGUAAAGGGCUCGUAGGUGGCCAACUAAGUCAUACGUGAAAUCCCUCGGCUUAACCGGGGAACUGCGUCUGAUACUGGAUGGCUUGAGUUUGGGAGAGGGAUGCGGAAUUCCAGGUGUAGCGGUGAAAUGCGUAGAUAUCUGGAGGAACACCGGUGGCGAAGGCGGCAUCCUGGACCGGCAUUGACGCUGAGGCGCGAAAGCUAGGGGAGCAAACGGG